UACCAGCACCCCGAGUGGUCGGGACGUUUAUUGGGCCUAAAGCAUCCGUAGCCGGUUCUACAAGUCUUCCGUUAAAUCCACCUGCUCAACAGAUGGGCUGCGGAGGAUACUAUAGAGCUAGGAGGCGGGAGAGGCAAGCGGUACUUAGUGGGUAGGGGUAAAAUCCGUUGAUCCAUUGAAGACCACCAGUGGCGAAGGCGGCUUGCCAGAACGCACUCGACGGUGAGGGAUGAAAGCUGGGGGAGCAAACCGG
rnacentral:rRNA from 1 species